rnacentral:rRNA from 1 species
UGAGGAAUAUUGGUCAAUGGACGGAAGCCUGAACCAGCCAUGCCGCGUGCAGGAAGACGGCUCUAUGAGUUGUAAACUGCUUUUGUACGAGGGUAAACGCAGAUACGUGUAUCUGCCUGAAAGUAUCGUACGAAUAAGGAUCGGCUAACUCCGUGCCAGCAGCCGCGGUAAUACGGAGGAUCCAAGCGUUAUCCGGAUUUAUUGGGUUUAAAGGGUGCGUAGGCGGUUUAGUAAGUCAGCGGUGAAAUUUUGGUGCUUAACACCAAACGUGCCGUUGAUACUGCUGGGCUAGAGAGUAGUUGCGGUAGGCGGAAUGUAUGGUGUAGCGGUGAAAUGCUUAGAGAUCAUACAGAACACCGAUUGCGAAGGCAGCUUACCAAACUAUAUCUGACGUUGAGGCACGAAAGCGUGGGGAGCAAACAGGAUUAGAUACCCUGGUAGUCCACGCAGUAAACGAUGAUAGCUCGUUGUCGGCGAUACACAGUCGGUGACUAAGAGAAAUCGAUAAGCUAUCCACCUGGGGAGUACGUUCGCAAGAAUGAAACUCAAAGGAAUUGACGGGGGCCCGCACAAGCGGAGGAACAUGUGGUUUAAUUCGAUGAUACGCGAGGAACCUUACCCGGGCUUGAAAGUUACUGACGAUUCUGGAAACAGGAUUUCCCUUCGGGGCAGGAAACUAGGUGCUGCAUGGUUGUCGUCAGCUCGUGCCGUGAGGUGUCGGGUUAAGUCCCAUAACGAGCGCAACCCCUACUGAUAGUUGCCAUCAGAGCGUUUGAGCGAUCAAACAAGCUGGGCACUCUAUCGGGACUGCCGGUGUAAGCCGAGAGGAAGGUGGGGAUGACGUCAAAUCAGCACGGCCCUUACGUCCGGGGCGACACACGUGUUACAAUGGUAGGUACAGAGGGCAGCCACCCAGUGAUGGGGAGCGAAUCUCGAAAGCCUAUCUCAGUUCGGAUUGGAGGCUGAAACUCGCCUCCAUGAAGUUGGAUUCGCUAGUAAUCGCGCAUCAGCCAUGGCGCGGUGAAUACGUUCCC